rnacentral:rRNA from 1 species
UACGUAGGGGGCAAGCGUUGUCCGGAUUUACUGGGCGUAAAGAGCGCGUAGGCGGCCAAGCAGGUCCGUUGUGAAAACUGGAGGCUUAACCUCCAGACGUCGACGGAAACCGCGUGGCUAGAGUCCGGAAGAGGAGAGUGGAAUUCCUGGUGUAGCGGUGAAAUGCGCAGAUAUCAGGAAGAACACCAAUGGCGAAGGCAGCUCUCUGGGACGGUACUGACGCUGAGACGCGAAAGCGUGGGGAGCGAGCAGG